UCCUACGGGAGGCAGCAGUGGGGAAUAUUGGGCAAUGGGCGCAAGCCUGACCCAGCAACGCCGCGUGAAGGAAGAAGGCUUUCGGGCUGUAAACUUCUUUUAUGAGGGACGAAAGAAAUGACGGUACCUCAUGAAUAAGCCACGGCUAACUACGUGCCAGCAGCCGCGGUAAUACGUAGGUGGCAAGCGUUAUCCGGAUUUACUGGGUGUAAAGGGCGUGUAGGCGGGACUGCAAGUCAGAUGUGAAAACCACGGGCUCAACCUGUGGCCUGCAUUUGAAACUGUAGUUCUUGAGUACUGGAGAG
rnacentral:rRNA from 1 species